AGAAACGGGGAGCAGUGUUAAUAACCGGGC
rnacentral:piRNA from 1 species